UACGGAAGGCAGCAGUGGGGAAUAUUGCACAAUGGGCGAAAGCCUGAUGCAGCUAUGCCGCGCGUAUGAAGAAGGCCUUAGGGUUGUAAAGUACUUUCAUCGGGGAGGAAAAACAAAACUAAUAAUUUUAUUUCUUGACGUUACCCGAAAAAGAAGCACCGGCUAACUCCGUGCCAGCAGCCGCGGUAAUACGGAGGGUGCUAGCGUUAAUCAGAAUUACUGGGCGUAAAGAGCACGUAGGUGGUUUUUUUAAGUCAGAUGUGAAAUCCCUGGGCUUAACCUGGAACUGCAUUUUGAAACUGAAAUACUAGAGUAUCGUAGAGGGAGGUAGAAUUCUAGGUGUAGCGGUGAAAUGCGUAGAUAUCUGGAGGAAUACCUGUGGCGAAAGCGGCCUCCUAAACGAAUACUGACACUGAGGUGCGAAAGCGUGGGGAGCAAACAGGGAUUAGAUACC
rnacentral:rRNA from 1 species